GGGUUGUGAGGUUAAGCGACUAAGCGUACACGGUGGAUGCCCUGGCAGUCAGAGGCGAUGAAGGACGUGCUAAUCUGCGAUAAGCGUCGGUAAGGUGAUAUGAACCGUUAUAACCGGCGAUUUCCGAAUGGGGAAACCCAGUGUGAUUCGUCACACUAUCAUUAACUGAAUCCAUAGGUUAAUGAGGCGAACCGGGGGAACUGAAACAUCUAAGUACCCCGAGGAAAAGAAAUCAACCGAGAUUCCCCCAGUAGCGGCGAGCGAACGGGGAGGAGCCCAGAGCCUGAAUCAGUGUGUGUGUUAGUGGAAGCGUCUGGAAAGGCGCGCGAUACAGGGUGACAGCCCCGUACACAAAAAUGCACAUGCUGUGAGCUCGAUGAGUAGGGCGGGACACGUGGUAUCCUGUCUGAAUAUGGGGGGACCAUCCUCCAAGGCUAAAUACUCCUGACUGACCGAUAGUGAACCAGUACCGUGAGGGAAAGGCGAAAAGAACCCCGGCGAGGGGAGUGAAAAAGAACCUGAAACCGUGUACGUACAAGCAGUGGGAGCACGCUUAGGCGUGUGACUGCGUACCUUUUGUAUAAUGGGUCAGCGACUUAUAUUCUGUAGCAAGGUUAACCGAAUAGGGGAGCCGAAGGGAAACCGAGUCUUAACUGGGCGUUAAGUUGCAGGGUAUAGACCCGAAACCCGGUGAUCUAGCCAUGGGCAGGUUGAAGGUUGGGUAACACUAACUGGAGGACCGAACCGACUAAUGUUGAAAAAUUAGCGGAUGACUUGUGGCUGGGGGUGAAAGGCCAAUCAAACCGGGAGAUAGCUGGUUCUCCCCGAAAGCUAUUUAGGUAGCGCCUCGUGAAUUCAUCUCCGGGGGUAGAGCACUGUUUCGGCAAGGGGGUCAUCCCGACUUACCAACCCGAUGCAAACUGCGAAUACCGGAGAAUGUUAUCACGGGAGACACACGGCGGGUGCUAACGUCCGUCGUGAAGAGGGAAACAACCCAGACCGCCAGCUAAGGUCCCAAAGUCAUGGUUAAGUGGGAAACGAUGUGGGAAGGCCCAGACAGCCAGGAUGUUGGCUUAGAAGCAGCCAUCAUUUAAAGAAAGCGUAAUAGCUCACUGGUCGAGUCGGCCUGCGCGGAAGAUGUAACGGGGCUAAACCAUGCACCGAAGCUGCGGCAGCGACGCUUAUGCGUUGUUGGGUAGGGGAGCGUUCUGUAAGCCUGUGAAGGUGUGCUGUGAGGCAUGCUGGAGGUAUCAGAAGUGCGAAUGCUGACAUAAGUAACGAUAAAGCGGGUGAAAAGCCCGCUCGCCGGAAGACCAAGGGUUCCUGUCCAACGUUAAUCGGGGCAGGGUGAGUCGACCCCUAAGGCGAGGCCGAAAGGCGUAGUCGAUGGGAAACAGGUUAAUAUUCCUGUACUUGGUGUUACUGCGAAGGGGGGACGGAGAAGGCUAUGUUGGCCGGGCGACGGUUGUCCCGGUUUAAGCGUGUAGGCUGGUUUUCCAGGCAAAUCCGGAAAAUCAAGGCUGAGGCGUGAUGACGAGGCACUACGGUGCUGAAGCAACAAAUGCCCUGCUUCCAGGAAAAGCCUCUAAGCAUCAGGUAACAUCAAAUCGUACCCCAAACCGACACAGGUGGUCAGGUAGAGAAUACCAAGGCGCUUGAGAGAACUCGGGUGAAGGAACUAGGCAAAAUGGUGCCGUAACUUCGGGAGAAGGCACGCUGAUAUGUAGGUGAAGUCCCUCGCGGAUGGAGCUGAAAUCAGUCGAAGAUACCAGCUGGCUGCAACUGUUUAUUAAAAACACAGCACUGUGCAAACACGAAAGUGGACGUAUACGGUGUGACGCCUGCCCGGUGCCGGAAGGUUAAUUGAUGGGGUCAGCGCAAGCGAAGCUCUUGAUCGAAGCCCCGGUAAACGGCGGCCGUAACUAUAACGGUCCUAAGGUAGCGAAAUUCCUUGUCGGGUAAGUUCCGACCUGCACGAAUGGCGUAAUGAUGGCCAGGCUGUCUCCACCCGAGACUCAGUGAAAUUGAACUCGCUGUGAAGAUGCAGUGUACCCGCGGCAAGACGGAAAGACCCCGUGAACCUUUACUAUAGCUUGACACUGAACAUUGAGCCUUGAUGUGUAGGAUAGGUGGGAGGCUUAGAAGUGUGGACGCCAGUCUGCAUGGAGCCGACCUUGAAAUACCACCCUUUAAUGUUUGAUGUUCUAACGUUGACCCGUAAUCCGGGUUGCGGACAGUGUCUGGUGGGUAGUUUGACUGGGGCGGUCUCCUCCUAAAGAGUAACGGAGGAGCACGAAGGUUGGCUAAUCCUGGUCGGACAUCAGGAGGUUAGUGCAAUGGCAUAAGCCAGCUUGACUGCGAGCGUGACGGCGCGAGCAGGUGCGAAAGCAGGUCAUAGUGAUCCGGUGGUUCUGAAUGGAAGGGCCAUCGCUCAACGGAUAAAAGGUACUCCGGGGAUAACAGGCUGAUACCGCCCAAGAGUUCAUAUCGACGGCGGUGUUUGGCACCUCGAUGUCGGCUCAUCACAUCCUGGGGCUGAAGUAGGUCCCAAGGGUAUGGCUGUUCGCCAUUUAAAGUGGUACGCGAGCUGGGUUUAGAACGUCGUGAGACAGUUCGGUCCCUAUCUGCCGUGGGCGCUGGAGAACUGAGGGGGGCUGCUCCUAGUACGAGAGGACCGGAGUGGACGCAUCACUGGUGUUCGGGUUGUCAUGCCAAUGGCACUGCCCGGUAGCUAAAUGCGGAAGAGAUAAGUGCUGAAAGCAUCUAAGCACGAAACUUGCCCCGAGAUGAGUUCUCCCUGACCCUUUAAGGGUCCUGAAGGAACGUUGAAGACGACGACGUUGAUAGGCCGGGUGUGUAAGCGCAGCGAUGCGUUGAGCUAACCGGUACUAAUGAACCGUGAGGCUUAACCUUACAACGCCGAAGCUGUU
rnacentral:rRNA from 1 species